rnacentral:rRNA from 1 species
CCCUUAGAUGUUCUGGGCCGCACGCGUGCUACACUGAGUGGAUCAGCGGGUUAGGUUGCGCGAAAGCGUUUCCUAAUCUUUAAAUCCGCUCGUGAUGGGGAUUGACGGUUGCAAUUUUCUGUCAUGAACGAGGAAUACCUUGUAAGCGCGGGUCAUCAUCCCGCGCUGAAUACGUCCCUGCCCUUUGUACACACCGCCCGUCGCUCCUACCGAUUGAGUGGUCCGGUGAGGCUUUGGGAUCUGAGCGGAAAGAGCGUUUCGCUGUUUCUGCUCGGAAAACUCAGUCGAACCUUAUCAUUUAGAGGAAGGAGAAGUCGUAACA